rnacentral:rRNA from 1 species
UACGUAGGGUGCAAGCGUUGUCCGGAAUUAUUGGGCGUAAAGAGCUCGUAGGCGGUUUGUCGCGUCUGCUGUGAAAACUCGGGGCUUAACCCCGGGCCUGCAGUGGGUACGGGCAGACUAGAGUGCGGUAGGGGAGACUGGAAUUCCUGGUGUAGCGGUGAAAUGCGCAGAUAUCAGGAGGAACACCGGUGGCGAAGGCGGGACUCUGGGCCGAUACUGACGCUGAGGAGCGAAAGCGUGGGGAGCAAACGGG